rfam:Nicotiana attenuata strain TT chromosome 11, whole genome shotgun sequence.
GACGGGCUCGGGAUGGUGUGGCAGUCCAGUUCUUAAGAAUAGCUCCCUUCUCCACGGUCUGAAUGGUGAGGCCUUCUUCCUCCUCCUCCUCAACUAUCACAUUGCAAUCUAUAUUCUCGUCUUCUAGAAACAAAUUCCUUAACCCAGCCAAAGCUUCCUCCUCUGAGCCGGCGACCGAAGCCCCGGUGAACGGCGACCGUAACUAUAACGGUCCUAAGGUAGCGAAAUUCCUUGUCGGGUAAGUUCCGACCCGC